GGUCCAAGUCUAUUCAAAGCUUUCUGAACUGAUUCAGAAAAGAGUUGGAGAGCUUCAGAGAUUUGGGUAGUCCCCACUUCUACCACAGAGAACUGGACCCAGAACCUGUGCUGAAAAGUCAGAAGAAAUUAAACCUAUGAGCAAAAUGAAGUACCAGCAGGACCACCAGACUGAAGGGAACAAUGGGAUGGAGUAAAGUGCCUAAAAGGUAAAGGGAUUGGUUUAUCCUUUCAAGCUGCUACCUGGGUCCUGAGGUGAAGUGCUGGCAGCAGCAGCAACAUCUGGGUAGAGUGCACCAGGGAUUCUGAGCCCUCUGGGCAGGUAAGACGGAUGCUGCUGCUCUGCUCCCCUCCCCCCCGCCUGCUCUAUGGCAGGGUUUUGCCCUGAAUUCAAAACUUGCUAGUUAUACUCUGGGCAUGCAGUGUGAGGUGUGGGGCCCCGGUUCAGGGUUCAAUUUCACAUAAUUGUGAACAUUUCUAACAGUACCUUUCUCUACACUUUCAGAAAUGUUCUAACAGUACCUGAAUUUGUCAUUCAGGAUGAACUCCUUUGAAGCUAAUAGAGUUACUGGCCUGAUUCUUCUUUCAUGGAUUUGAACUGGGUGUAAUUCUACUGACUUCAGUGGGACCACUCCUAACUUGCACUGCGUGUGAUGGGAGGAUCAAUCCAUUCCAAUAAUGACUAUUUGAAGAUGAAUCAGAUCUUUUGGGGCUGCUUCUCCAUUACGUUGUGUGAGCUUCAUGGCAGGUGCAACUCCCCUGGCUUCAUGCAUCUUACUUUCGUGUGACUUGUCCUAUGCAGAGCAAUAGAAGAUCAAGCUGUGUAUCUUUAAGGUGACAUCCUCCAGAAGGGUGGCUAACUGGAAUAGUCACCGAUAUAAGCUUUUUACACACAAGAUUUAAUGUAGUACUUCGAGUGAUCCCGAGACUGAAGUGAACAGAACGGUGUAAAUAACACAGGGCAGCAGCAGGAGCAGGCCUUAACCAGUAUUUCAUUCAGUAAUUCAAUACUUAUAUAUGUUAUAAGUGCUAGUUCUGGUUCUUUUCCUUUUUCCCUUCUUGGUCCCUUUUUUUCAUAAGGUCCAAUGGACAAAGGGAUGGUAGGGAUUUAUUUUAUAUGUACAGUCCACAGUUGUGAAGUAAAGACAUACUUGGAGCCUGCUGAGAGUGGAGAAAUAUUUUACUAUUUAUUGACUAUUUCUGGUUGGCACCAUCUGCUUCACUGUAUAAUUUAAAUGAUUUGUGCAUAUUUUGCAUUGUUUUUGCAGUGAUAAAUGUUACUAUAAAAGUGAAGGGCAAAACCUUCACUAACAUUCCUGGGGGCAGGUGUUUAUUAUUAGAUGUGGAUGUUGAUACUCCUUGUUUACACCAGUGUGAAAGAAGCUACAAUGAAAUCAAACUGCUGACUUAAUCACCAUUCAAAUUGCUAUUGCAAAGAACAAAAAUCAGUUUAAAAGAAUGAUGCCUUUUAUUAAAGUAAAAAUUAUAGAAGUGAGAUUUUUUUUUUUUGUGAGAGAUCCUUUUUAAUAACCUCUGGAGCCCUUUGUCAGCUCCCUCCCUUUGAAAACUUGUUAGAGCCCCCUUUGAUUGCCCCUUCAGAUGAUCAAAGUUUCCCAUCAGUGGGUUGUUACUUCCACCUUCCACUUUAGAUAUGAAAAUCUGGUUUUCCCUGUCGGGUAGAGAAAUCUUUUUGCCUAAAGAUGUCCCAUUUGACAGAGAAAUAUGAACAUUUAACAGGUCUCGGUGCUGGCCCUUUGCUAGAUGCAAGGCUUUUUCCUAACUGCUUCUGAAGGUAUUGGUUCAAUAUACGGAAGGAGACAGAAGAGAAGACAAUUAAAUCCCACAUUCAACAUAGAGAUUGCAGUCUGACACUGACAGAGUUGGCAACAGCAAACAGAAUCUGUAAAUGGUAUAUAGACAGAUAUUCACCAUAUUUCACAGUAAUGCAAACAAAAGACAGGUCAUUAAAUAUUUAGCAGGUACUGAAAACAACUAGCUGCAGCUAAAGAAGAAUGAAGUAAUUAAUCACUGUAAAUUUUUAAUCUAAUUUACAUAUUUUACCAAAGCACAAGUUUUGCAGUAUGUUGGAGAACCACAAGAAAUUAAAUAUGGCUUGCCAUUUACAGAAAUAAUUCUAUGUUCACUGAUAAAGAAAUUUUAUUAAUUACAUGUGAGGCUUGCUUAAUCUGAUGCAUCUCUCCCAGGCAGGUAUUUACUGUUAGUUGCAUAGACUAGAUUGUACCAUUUAGUCUAGAAAGGUGCAGUGAUUUAUUGCUGCAGGAGACAUGUCUCCUUAAAUGACUUUGAGCACUAAGAAGCUUGCAUACCUGAACUGGGUAACAUUUUUCGGCUGAAACUUUUUUUGGUGGGGGGGAGAAAAGGGGGGGGGCUGCUAAAAAUCUCUAAAGGUUGAAACAUUGUUUUGACAUUAAAUGCUUUUAUUCAAAAGGAUUUUUCAAAGUUGAUCUUGGAAUCAUUAAAAACAAAAGUUUUAUAAAGCUCAAAAAUGAAAUGAAAGGUUUCAUUCAACUCCAAAUAGGCUUUUUAUAAACUUUUUAUUUGUCUACAAACUUAAAAAAAAAAGUUUCAGCUGGACGCCAAACUACCAUUUUUUUCCCUUAAACAUUUUUUAAGAACUGUAACUGAAAUGAGUUGUUUGCACAGAUCCAGUAUAAGCUAUUACAUGUUAGGAAUGCAGUCUGCUGCUUCCUCUGGGAUAGCUUCACUCCUCUGUCCCCAUCAGAGCACUCCAGGGCAGCAAUCCUUCCUGACCUUUAUAUUCACAGAAGUUUAGGGCCGGAAGGGACCUCGUGAGAUCAUUGGGUCCAGCCCCCCUGCUCCAGGCAGGAAAGACUGGUAGGGUAAAAUAAGCCCAGCAAUUCACAGAUCGGAAGGAAGUUUCACUGUAUUCUCUGGCCCUGGAUAGACAUAAUGUUUACUCUGGCAUGGAUCAUCAUCAUAUUAUACGUGUGUGGGGUGAGGGAGGGGGCGUGUGUACUGGAUAGAUCACGCAAAUACCUAUACUGGGAUAACUUUACCAAUAUGGAGGAUUACGCCUGAAAGAACUGGGGUAAAAUUCUACCAAUGUUAAAAUAUACUAAGUUUUAUUUGACUGCUUUCAUCUCAAGAUAGACUUUGCCUUUAGCAAAUAGCUAUCAGCUGCUCUCUCACCAGCUAGCAGCAAGGUAUAAUAAUAGGGCUGUGCAAAACAGCACCAUUUUGUU